rnacentral:sRNA from 1 species
GCGGAGGAAAAGAAACCAACAGGGAUUGCCCUAGUAACGGCGAGUGAAGCGGCAACAGCUCAAAUUUGAAAUCUGGCGUCUUUGGCGUCCGAGUUGUAAUUUGCAGAGGGCGCUUUGGCGUUGGCAGCGGUCCAAGUUCCUUGGAACAGGACGUCACAGAGGGUGAGAAUCCCGUACGUGGUCGCUGGCCUUCGCCGUGUAAAGCCCCUUCGACGAGUCGAGUUGUUUGGGAAUGCAGCUCUAAAUGGGAGGUAAAUUUCUUCUAAAGCUAAAUACUGGCCAGAGACCGAUAGCGCACAAGUAGAGUGAUCGAAAGAUGAAAAGCACUUUGGAAAGAGAGUCAAACAGCACGUGAAAUUGUUGAAAGGGAAGCGCUUGCAGCCAGACUUGCCUGUAGUUGCUCAUCCGGGCUUUUGCCCGGUGCACUCUUCUAUAGGCAGGCCAGCAUCAGUUUGGGCGGUUGGAUAAAGGUCUCUGUCAUGUACCUCUCUUCGGGGAGAACUUAUAGGGGAGACGACAUGCAACCAGCCUGGACUGAGGUCCGCGCAUCUGCUAGGAUGCUGGCGUAAUGGCUGUAAGCGGCCCGUCUUGAAACACGGACCAAGGAGUCUAACAUCUAUGCGAGUGUUUGGGUGUCAAGCCCGAGCGCGCAAUGAAAGUGAACGGAGGUGGGAACCUUUCGGGGUGCACCAUCGACCGAUCCUGAUGUCUUCGGAUGGAUUUGAGUAAGAGCAUAGCUGUUGGGACCCGAAAGAUGGUGAACUAUGCUUGAAUAGGGUGAAGCCAGAGGAAACUCUGGUGGAGGCUCGCAGCGGUUCUGACGUGCAAAUCGAUCGUCAAAUUUGGGCAUAGGGGCGAAAGACUAAUCGAACUAUCUAGUAGCUGGUCCUG